rnacentral:rRNA from 1 species
CAAGUCGAACGAAGUCUUCGGACUUAGUGGCGCACGGGUGCGUAACGCGUGGGAAUCUCGCCCUUGGGUGCGGAAUAACUUCUACGAAAGGGAUGACUAAUACCGCAUAAUGUCGUAAGACCAAAGAUUUAUCGCCCAAGGAUGAGCCCGCGUAAGAUUAGCUAGUUGGUGGGGUAAAAAGCCUACCAAGGCGACGAUCUUUAGCUGGUCUGAGAGGAUGAUCAGCCACACUGGGACUGAGACACGGCCCAGACUCCUACGGGAGGCAGCAGGUGGGGAAUAUUGGACAAUGGGCGAAAGCCUGAUCCAGCAAUGCCGCGUGAGUGAUGAAGGCCCUAGGGUUGUAAAGCUCUUUUACCAGGGAUGAUAAUGACAGUACCUGGAGAAUAAGCUCCGGCUAACUCCGUG